rnacentral:misc_RNA from 1 species
GUUGGUGGUGGUGGAGGGGAGGAUGGUGCGAUUGCAAAAGCCUCCGAGAAAGUAUAUGGGAGCUUCUUGACAUUGACCUACUACCUAACUUUGAUCCAUCCAACGUUACCAAACCUAUAGCCUAAAUCCAUAGCCAGACAGCUUCGGCUAAACCAAACCUUAAUUCUCUCUCUCUCUCUCUUUCUGUUUGCCUCGACAAAUAUAAAUAACAAUUAUUUUCAUUAUGUCAAAAGCAAACAAAAGCAGAGGAAAAAACGAGACUCAGAAGCUUUAGACUUUUCUUUGAAAAGCUUAACACCCACAACCCAAAAGCGUGUUUUAUUUUCUUGUGUCGCAUUUCCAGGAGUUCCUAUCAAAUACCAAUGAGUGAUCAUCUGGUUUUGUGUGCUGAUCGUCUCAUAACACCUGAAAGUUUGCAAUCAAUGGAAGGAGAUAAGGAGUCAGCAUCUUCUGGGGAGUGUUCAUCGUCUCAUACUGCUGAUGAACACACUUGUGUUAUUAAUGUUGAGGAAGUGGGGGAACAUGGCAUAUCUGAGGAAGAAGAACCACUUAUUCAAACAAUGGAAUGCCGCAUUUGCCAGGAAGAGGACAGCAUUAGUAAUUUGGAGGCCCCUUGUGCUUGUAGUGGUAGCUUGAAGUUCGCACACAGGAAAUGUGUUCAGCGGUGGUGUAAUGAAAAAGGGGACAUAACUUGUGAGAUAUGUCACCAGGUAACGUAUUCUUGUUUAUGGCAUCUGCAGUUUGUGCUAUGGUUAUGUUUGUUGAACAUGCCUAUUUUAAGGUUUUUAUUUAUGGGAAAUGAAGAAAUGUGUGGAAAUACGAAGUAUGUACUACACUACUGUAGUUUCUCUUGCUUGGCAAAAUACUAGUUAAUUGUAGAAUCAUAAAAAUUGCUUUAUAAGCUGUUGCAUUAUUAUCAUGUUAGGUGAUGUUUUAUAUCACAUGUUUUUGUCUUUUUGACAAGUUCUAAUGUUUACCUUCACAAUCAACAAGUUUUAAUGUUUACCUUCCCAAGUUAAUUUUUAAAAGUUAUUCUGCAAAUAUGGAACUAAAGAAGUAAUUUUGGGCAUUUUUAUGCAAUUUUUCAAAACGUUUUGGAAUAGCCAUCUGCGUGUUGAUGAUGUUUGUAUUUAGUGAAUUUAUGGAUCCCCUUAGAAAUUUUCUUUGAAAAUUAUCAUGACGGCUUUUGGAUUUGUAUUAAAUUAAGCUAUAUUCUUGAUUUCUUUGCACAUACUGUGGCUAACUGCAAAACACCAAAGAACAAGGGAAUGCUAUUCAGUAAUUUACUUACACUUUUUGGUUUUCAUGAUCUCAAUUAGAUGCUUUGUAUUAUUGAUUGGCAUGAUGACAAUUAUGCCUUUGUUGAGUACUUUGAAAAUUAUCAGGGUUGUGCAAGGUGCCAGAGCUUUAAUAGUUGUCUUAACUUUUAAGCAAAAAAUUUGGUAUUGAUUUUGUAAUUGCACUGGUACCUAUGCAAAUAUACACAUAUUCUUUCUGAUGGAAACUGUGUUAUUUUAUACCUUUAUGGAAACAAUAUAUCACAUGCAUUGGGUGUUGUAUAGAAGAGGACCCUUGUACUGGUUGAUGAUAUAUCUCAGACUUGAACUUUCAAAGUGAACUUUAGAAUUGAGUUUCUAAUUGAAUUGCUAUAUUUUAUUUUUGCAUGUGUUUAAAUUUUACUAAUUGCGGUUCAUAAUAAAUGAUGUUUCUUUCCACACAUUCUUAUAUCUCAAGUACUAAUAUGAUGAAAACGUAAUAGGCCAAUAUAUUUAGCUAAGUGUGAGUUCCAUAGAUAUUCCGUGAAAACAUGAAGCGCUUCUGAUUAUUGAUGAUGGCUGAAUUCAUGCACUGAUUUCUGGUAAAAAUCUCUCAUUAACAGCCUUAUGAACCUGGUUAUACUGCCCCUCCACCUCCCCUUCCAAUGGAAGAUACAGCAAUUGAUAUCAGGCAAGUUCAUAUUAUUUAUGCCUGGUUCCUAAUUUAAUGCUGAUAUCAGAUUAUCUUUUUGAUUUGAUUUUGAAAUUCACUAAUGGGUACACAUGAUUAUUAUUUUAUAUGUGACUAGACCUUUGAACUUUUUCCUGUUUCACCAUGUUGUAUAACUUCUAUGUUUGUUAGUCCAUUGACUCUAGUAAAUGUUUACAUUUUUCUUAAUUUCAAUUAGUGGGAGAAACUUUUAUUACUUGUGGCUGUUAGCUUUGCAAUUUUUUAAAUCAAUUUUGAGAGUCCUGUAAUCUGCAGGCUGUGCAUUGUUCUAUUGUUGAAUGGAGUAUGAUGCUUUCAUUUCUCAAUCUUUUUCCACAGUGAGGGUUGGACCAUUGCGGGCACUCCUUUGGAUUUGCAUGAUCCUCGAAUUUUAGCUAUGGCAGCAGCAGAACGUCAUUUUUUGGAGGCCGAGUAUGAUGAUUAUGCUGAUUCCAGUGCUAAUGGAGCAGCAUUUUGCCGCUCUGUGGCUCUAAUUGUGAGCAAAGAUUCUUUCAAAAAGUCAUGUUAGCAUUAAUUGUAUUACAGUAUGUAGGAACAUCAUAAUCUUAGUGGCUCCUAUUAUUGAUCAUGAAACUAUUCUCUAGGGUUAAUAACUUAGUGUGUAGCUAUACAGCGAAUUCUUUCUUCAUAUAUAGAUAUAUUUUUUCUUUUUCUACUCUAUCUAUGAUCUUCUUAGGCUGCCUGGCAGUGGCAUUGAAUUGGGCAGCUGUAUCCAGGCCCCAUGUGGGAUGGUUUGGGUUCCUUGCAAUUUGCUAUCUGUGAUCAAUUGCCAUUGUGGUUUUUCUAUUCCACAUUUAAAAUGUCAUCAAUACGAGUCAUUUAAAUGGAUAUUAAAAUAUGGGUUUUACAUUAUAUGGAUGGGUAGUUCUGAUUGUAUGUUUUCCACCUCUCGGCAGUUAAUGGCUCUUCUGCUCUUGAGACAUGCUAUGUCCCUCACUGGAGAUGGUGAUGAAGAUGUUUCUGCAUUUUUCUCUCUUUUCCUGAUAAGGGCUGCUGGUUUUCUUCUCCCAUGUUACAUCAUGGCCUGGGCCAUCAGUAUAUUGCAGCGACGAAGACAAAGACAGGUUCACCUUCUCUAUUUUUUUCCGGCAACCAGCCCCCAACUCUCUCUCUCUCUCUCUCACGUGCACUCACAUUCAUAUUUUCCUUGGUAGUUUUUGCUAAAAUUUUGAAGUCUUUCCAUACUUGUAUUAUUUUCUAACUCUUAUGAUUAUUAAUUUAAAUAUAUUUCAAUCACUAUUGAAUCAGGAAGCGGCAGCUCUUACAGCAACCGAGGUUGCAUUCAUGCUGCAGGCAGGGCAACGGCGGAGCUUGCAAGUCACAAUUGCACCUGGACCUGGAGUAACUCCCCACCAAGCCACAACUCCACAACAAGAGCCACUUCAAUGAUGAAGUGGCUGGAGAAUAGUUGCUGUGGAAACACGAGUGAGUUAGUGAUUGUCUUACCCGUGCAGGCUGUCUUGGAGUUGCCUACUUUUAAAAUACUAGUAGUACACUUUAUUUAGUCUUCUGACAUGUGUAUUUUCAUGACUCUUUCAUUUGAGCUGCUUGAGAUGCUUUUGUGUUAAGAGCUAUUGUGUCCAGAUGAACACGACAGCAAGAUAUUCUGAGAGUUUUGUUGUGAGUUUGGCAUGAUUCUUCAUGUACCCAUGAAAAUAUAUUUGCUUAUAUCCAUGUAUAAAAAACAAGAAGUUAUUCUGAAUA